rnacentral:tmRNA from 1 species
CCUGGAUUCGACGUGGGUCAGAAAACCCAAGGUGCAUGCCGAGCUGUAGUUACGCUCGUAAAACCAACUACAAACUUUUAGUUGCCAACGACGACAACUACGCACUAGCAGCUUAAAAACCUGCUCAGCGCCUUCUGCCCGGCUUGUGCCUGUACGACCGGAUCCCAGGAGUCACCCCAUACAGGAUCGUGUUGAAGCAUUUCCGCUGCCGAUACAUUAAAACUUAGCCGGAAUCGCACCAGGUUUUCCCUGCUCUUCGGGUAACCCGGUGCUAAAUUAAUAGAAGAGAUAAGCAUGUAGAGCCGAAGGCAGACUACUUACGGACGCGGGUUCGAUCA